rnacentral:rRNA from 1 species
GCUAGCGUUGUUCGGAAUUACUGGGCGUAAAGGGCUCGUAGGUGGCCAACUAAGUCAGACGUGAAAUCCCUCGGCUUAACCGGGGAACUGCGUCUGAUACUGGAUGGCUGGAGUGCGGUAGAGGGGUGUGGAAUUCCCGGUGUAGCAGUGAAAUGCGUAGAUAUCGGGAGGAACAGCUGUGGCGAAGGCGACACCCUGGACCAGCACUGACACUGAGGCACGAAAGCGUGGGGAGCAAACAGG